rnacentral:rRNA from 1 species
AUUGAACGCUGGCGGCAUGCCUUACACAUGCAAGUCGAACGGUAACAGGUUAAGCUGACGAGUGGCGAACGGGUGAGUAAUGUAUCGGAACGUGCCCAGUCGUGGGGGAUAACUGCUCGAAAGAGCAGCUAAUACCGCGUACGACCUGAGGGUGAAAGCGGGGGAUCGCAAGACCUCGCGCGAUUGGAGCGGCCGAUAUCAGAUUAGGUAGUUGGUGAGGUAAAGGCUCACCAAGCCGACGAUCUGUAGCUGGUCUGAGAGGACGACCAGCCACACUGGGACUGAGACACGGCCCAGACUCCUACGGGAGGCAGCAGUGGGGAAUUUUGGACAAUGGGCGCAAGCCUGAUCCAGCCAUGCCGCGUGCGGGAAGAAGGCCUUCGGGUUGUAAACCGCUUUUGUCAGGGAAGAAAAGGUUCUGGCUAAUACCUGGGACUCAUGACGGUACCUGAAGAAUAAGCACCGGCUAACUACGU